UUGCAGGUGGCUGGGGAACGAACUGGCACUUCAGAGGCUCAACCACUGCGCCACCAGGGGAGGCCCUAAUCAUUUUAUCUAACAUUAGCUCUCUGAGGAAAGUGAUAAUAUGUCUAUUUAUAAUAUAUGAAACUAGGAAAUAAUUUGCCCAGGGGUCUCUGACACAUAAAUUAGUGUGCUUGUGUAUACCACACUUAGCUCUUGAUUAGACUUCUUAAUAUUCACGUUUAUAAUUUAUUCUCCCCAUCUGUGAUGGUUUACGUUAUGUGUUGACUGGGUCAUAGGGUACCCAGAUAUCUGCGUGUUUCUGCAAGUUUGUUUUUGAAUGAAAUCAAUAAAUUGGUAGGCUGAGUAAAGCAAACUGUACUCCAUAAUGCGGGGGCCUCAUUCAGUCAGAUGAAGGCUUGAAUAACACAAAAGGCUGACCGUCCCUGAGUAAGGGAAUUCUCCCUCAUGACCUUGGAACACUGGCUCUUUUUACCUAAUGACCUUUGAACUGGAACAUUGCCUUUUAUGACAUCAGUUUCCAGCCUCCAGACUCAAAUCAGGAUAUUAGCUCAACUGAACAGAUUUUAGAUCCAUCCGUGAUUUUGGACCAUGGAGAUGAUCACAUGAGCCAAUUCUAAGUGUUCUCUUUUAAGAAUUAUGGACAACAAAAGCAGAGAGUCCUGUAUCAAACUUAAAAGAUAAGAAGGUGCAAUCUGCCUUCCUUUGCAACUUUAGGUGCAAUAGUAUGGGCUGUUUUGCAUGACUGAAGAGACCAUCCAGUACCAGAUGAUUGCUGAGCUGACUGCAGAAGAGUUCAAACAUUUCAGUGGCUUUAGAUCCACUGAACGGUGGACACGGUUAAGUUCACUUCUGUUUAUUGACAUGACUAAUAUCUGAGCUUAGACUUUUCUGAAGAUCAUGGUACUUCUUGAAGCCAUCCGGAGGAAGCUUUCUUAUCAAGUUCCACUGAAGUGACCUGAAAUAAAUAUAAACUUUGGUACUUAUGAAGAGUUUUUUUCUUCACAUUUAACCACAACACUAUGGACAAUUAUAAACUUUACUUACCUUAGCACUAGUUUUUAGGAAACAUUUUGUAUCAUGACAUCACUCAUUCAUGGUAGCUUUUAAAGUAGGUCUAACUAUUAAUUUUGUAUUAUUGAAGAUACUCACA